rnacentral:rRNA from 1 species
UACAGAGGUGGCAAGCGUUGUUCGGAUUUACUGGGCGUAAAGGGUGCGUAGGUGGUAUUGUGUGUCGGGCGUGAAAGCUCACCGCUCAACGGUGAAAGGCCGUCCGAAACUACAAAACUAGAGUGCAGGAGAGGAGAGCGGAAUACUUGGUGUAGCGGUGGAAUGCGUUGAGAUCAAGUAGAACACCGGUGGCGUAGGCGGCUCUCUGGAAUGUAACUGACACUGAGGCACGAAAGUUGGGGGAGCAAACAGG